rnacentral:rRNA from 1 species
ACUCCUACGGGAGGCAGCAGUGGGGAAUAUUGCACAAUGGGGAAACCCUGAUGCAGCCAUGCCGCGUGUGUGAAGAAGGCCUUCGGUUGUAAAGCACUUUCAGUAGGGAGGAAGGUAGUGUAGUUAACACCUGCACUAUUUUGACGUUACCUACAGAAGAAGCACCGGCUAACUCCGUGCCAGCAGCCGCGGUAAUACGGAGGGUGCGAGCGUUAAUCGGAAUUACUGGGCGUAAAGCGCAUGCAGGCGGCCUGUUAAGUCAGAUGUGAAAGCCCGGGGCUUAACCUCGGAAUUGCAUUUGAAACUGGCAGGCUAGAGUCUUGUAGAGGGGGUAGAAUUUCAGGUGUAGCGGUGAAAUGCGUAGAGAUCUGAAGGAAUACCAGUGGCGAAGGCGGCCCCUGGACAAGACUGACGCUCAGAUGCGAAAGCGUGGGGAGC